UUUUUUUUCACGCGCACUCGCGCAUGUGAAUUCGUGCCACAGACCAAACGAAUCAACCAUGAAAACACUGGACCGUCUCUGGGCAGUCCUCUGCGUCACACCCCAGGCAGUGGCACCUCUUCCUAUUGUUGGACUGAGACUCAACUCUCAGCCUCUUGUAGGAAUGCAGAGAUCUCAACUGGAGAAGCAAAGCCCAUCUGAAGUCCUGGGCUGAGGAUCAAGAGGGACAAAGUGUUAGAUGAUGAAAAUGAAGAAAACAAAGCAGUAUACAAAUGUAAGGAUCUGUAAAAAAAAAAAAAAAAAAGUACUAUAAGUGAAUGGACAGUGUGUGGCCUAUUUGUGUGCAUAUAUGAUUUUAUUUUUUCAUUUGCAGAGUCUUAUAAGCAUAUGUGGGCUGGGCAUCCUAAAGAUGCAAGACACUAUAAUAAUAAAUGAAAUCAUACUACGCUACACCCUAAGAGCCCUUACGUGUAUCUGUGUUCCAGAGGUCCUCCUUAGUGAAUGCAGAGCAUACGUACAUCUGAGAUCCACAUAUUUCAUAGUUCCUCCUAAGUAAUAUUUUUUAUUUAAUUCAACUAGGCAAGUCAGUUAAGAACAAAAUCUUAUUUACAAUGACGGCCUAGGAAGAGUGGGUUAACUGCCUUGUUCAGGGGCAGAACAGCAAAUUUUUACCUUGUCAGCUCAGGGCUUUGAUCUAACAACCUUUUGGUUACUGGCCGAAUGCUCUAACUUCUAGGCUACCUGUAAUAGUAGAGCAUACAUUUGAGGUGGCUGUCUCAGAAUGCUUGCUGUGGGUGGAGCCAGAGUAUCGGGAAAUAUCCUCAGAGUCUAGGAUGGAGUUGGUGGUUGUUGUAAUGUACAUACCCUCUUCAUUGUCCACAUGAGUUGCAGAGUGGCGGGGAAUGUCCCGGGACUCCAGGAAGAACCUGGUGGUUGUUCACAUGUUACAUUUUAUUUAACUAGUACAACACAUCAUCCUUAGGAGUUAAAAAGCAAUGGGGACAGUCCUGGGGAGUCAAAGUCCUCUGGUUAAGAGUCUCCCUGGAGCUGUUGGACUGCUUGGGGCUCCCUGCUCUGCUGGAGUCAGGAGUCCAGACACAGGGUGACUUUGUGGAUCAACAAGGAUAACGUGACAGAUGGUAAAGAGAGUGGACCAAUACUCAAACAAACCAAUUCAAUGCAAAAUCAAGCAAAUUAGACAAAUUAGGCAAACUAGCACACGAGACAGAGGUAGAACUCGUAACUGACAGGUAGCCAGGGUUGUCAUAGUGAUUAUAACCAGACUGGAACGAUUGGCUCCAGGCUUUCAAGUGAGGCAAUACCCAAUCUGUAGAUCAAGAGGGGGAAAAAUUGCAGAUCAAGCAAUUUACCAGAAAAAUGAAUUUACUAAUAAUCAAAGUUUAGCAGACUAAGCAGCAUGGUAGAGUAAGAUCUUACCCGAGAGGUGGUUUCAGCUACUUUAGAGCUCCUCGUUCCUAUUAAGAGAGUAGACAUCAGUGGUCUCAGACCAACGGGAUUGGGACAACCCAGUGGUGAAGACGUUCCUGGGGAGUCAAAGCCCUCUGGUCAGGAGACUCCCCGGGUCUCCAGAAGCAGGGUAGGUAUGUGGAUCAACAGGGACAAAGUGUCAGAUGGUAAAGAGAGUGGAACAACACACUGAAACAAACAAAUUGUUAUGUUCCCCAGUUUCUGUGUUGUGGUUUUGUUUGGAUGUGUGUGUUUCAGGAUGGCUUCCGGAAAUUCUAAGCAGCUGAUUGGUCGGCCCCAUCAAUGAUUGGAGAUCUGACCCCGCCCUCUAAUCAGGAGAUACAGCUGUCUUCAAUUAUCGACUCCUUCUGAAGCUUUAAAAGCCAGUGUUCGUUUGUUAGGAGAGAGAGCUGAUGGUUAUGUUCUGUGUUGGUUGUUGCUCGGAGACAGUUCCCCAUAGGACGCAGUGUUUUUGAUUAUUGAAAUGGUUUACUUAUGUUUGUAUUCGUUUUAAUUUGUUCCCAGGGGGGAAGGGAGUGCUUAGGCAAGCGACCUGCGGGCAUAAAUAUACCCGAGUAUGUACUUUGUCUAUGCUCACUAGGUAAGACCCGUCUGGACCAUCCCCUGUAUUUUGGUUAGUGCGCCAGGUGCUGCGUGUUAGGUAAGUUGUGGGUAGGUAAAGUAGGAGAGGGGGAUCUUUAACUUUCUCUGCUUUGGUUCCAUUACCGUGUGACUGAAUAAAUUCCCUGUAAAAGGUUAA